UUUGCUCAGGCCAUGAGCCUGUUCAACCAAAUCGAUGGAAAAGUACUUGGAAUCGGAUGGUUUGACCUGCAAGUAAAUAAAACUUUUGUUUGCAAAAUUAAUGUGAAUAACUGCAAAAAAUAAGUUAUUAUUGGAUCGGAUGCACCAAAAGAGCAACUGCUGACACAUCCGAACACAUGCUGACAAAUGCUCGGCAUGCACGACUGCAACAUACCCUAUACAACAGCAAAAUCGAAGUGCUUACAUGAACAACAUCAAGAGGGUAUUCAAAGGCGAAUUUCAGCAUUGCAUUACGACUUAAUAAACGGAAGUGUAACCAUAUCAACGACAGCAGCAGCAACAACAACAACAACGCGAAGCAUUCUUAUUAGUCCAUCGAUAAUACACGAAGGAUAUUUAAUUAUUAAUUGAAAAUUAUGCAGACCAAUGCGCUUUUAACCAGUCGAAAAAGGUUGCCAUUAAAAUUACAGAGACAGAUACAUAUAUGUACAAUACAUAUAUAUAACUUGAUAUCUGGCAUGCGGUUGCAGAGCAGUUGCUCUGUGUAUGUAUGAAAUUAUUGUGAAUUUUAAUAAAAUUGCCAAGUGCGCUCUGAAAUUGA